AACGCUGGCGGCGUGCCUAAUACAUGCAAGUCGAACGAUGAAGCUUCUAGCUUGCUAGAGUGCUGAUUAGUGGCGCACGGGUGAGUAACGCAUAGGUCAUGUGCCUCUUAGUUUGGGAUAGCCAUUGGAAACGAUGAUUAAUACCAGAUACUCCCUACGGGGGAAAGAUUUAUCGCUAAGAGAUCAGCCUAUGUCCUAUCAGCUUGUUGGUAAGGUAAUGGCUUACCAAGGCUAUGACGGGUAUCCGGCCUGAGAGGGUGAACGGACACACUGGAACUGAGACACGGUCCAGACUCCUACGGGAGGCAGCAGUAGGGAAUAUUGCUCAAUGGGGGAAACCCUGAAGCAGCAACGCCGCGUGGAGGAUGAAGGUUUUAGGAUUGUAAACUCCUUUUGUUAGAGAAGAUAAUGACGGUAUCUAACGAAUAAGCACCGGCUAACUCCGUGCCAGCAGCCGCGGUAAUACGGAGGGUGCAAGCGUUACUCGGAAUCACUGGGCGUAAAGAGCGCGUAGGCGGGAUAGUCAGUCAGGUGUGAAAUCCUAUGGCUUAACCAUAGAACUGCAUUUGAAACUACUAUUCUAGAGUGUGGGAGAGGUAGGUGGAAUUCUUGGUGUAGGGGUAAAAUCCGUAGAGAUCAAGAGGAAUACUCAUUGCGAAGGCGACCUGCUGGAACAUUACUGACGCUGAUUGCGCGAAAGCGUGGGGAGCAAACAGGAUUAGAUACCCUGGUAGUCCACGCCCUAAACGAUGGAUGCUAGUUGUUGGAGGGCUUAGUCUCUCCAGUAAUGCAGCUAACGCAUUAAGCAUCCCGCCUGGGGAGUACGGUCGCAAGAUUAAAACUCAAAGGAAUAGACGGGGACCCGCACAAGCGGUGGAGCAUGUGGUUUAAUUCGAAGAUACACGAAGAACCUUACCUAGGCUUGACAUUGAGAGAAUCCGCUAGAAAUAGUGGAGUGUCUAGCUUGCUAGACCUUGAAAACAGGUGCUGCACGGCUGUCGUCAGCUCGUGUCGUGAGAUGUUGGGUUAAGUCCCGCAACGAGCGCAACCCCCUUUCUUAGUUGCUAACAGGUUAUGCUGAGAACUCUAAGGAUACUGCCUCCGUAAGGAGGAGGAAGGUGGGGACGACGUCAAGUCAUCAUGGCCCUUACGCCUAGGGCUACACACGUGCUACAAUGGGGUGCACAAAGAGAAGCAAUACUGUGAAGUGGAGCCAAUCUUCAAAACACCUCUCAGUUCGGAUUGUAGGCUGCAACUCGCCUGCAUGAAGCUGGAAUCGCUAGUAAUCGCAAAUCAGCCAUGUUGCGGUGAAUACGUUCCCGGGUCUUGUACUCACCGCCCGUCACACCAUGGGAGUUGUGUUUGCCUUAAGUCAGGAUGCUAAAUUGGCUACUGCCCACGGCACACACAGCGACUGGGGUGAAGUCGUAACAAGGUAACCGUAG
rnacentral:rRNA from 1 species